ACUGAUAGCACACCUUCAAGCAAUAUGUCUAGAAAUGAGUCCACCAGAUGUGAAAUAUUUUGAUAACUCCACAAAAUUUGAACCAAGACAACUUGAUGGAAGUUCAUGUGGGGUUUUUGUAUGCAUGGUAGCUGGUUAUAUGGUCAAUGGCUUGGAUGUGAACUUUACACAGUAAAGGAAGACAUACCAUGUUUAAGAAAAUACAUGGAAAUAACAUGGCUGUUCGCCUAGCAAAUCCUGAAAAAACCUCCAAAUACCAAUAAGGAAACAAACUGAACAUUACAAUGAGGAUGACCAUGCCACAUACACACUAAAACAAAGGUUACAAAUAUUCUGUCUCUAUCAGAUGAUGGGUUAGAGUAUGUCUUUAAAGAAGUAUUAAAGGAAGGUGAUAAAGGAUUCUUAACAAUUAGCUUGGUAAUUUGUAAGCGAUUUAGACAGAUAGUGGGAAGAGACUCUUUUAGACACACCACUCACUUUGCCUGGUUAAACAGUGUGUGGGAAUGGAAUUCAUCCAUUUCAUCAUCAAAAGAAUUCAAAGAGGAGAAUUACAAAAUGUAUGAAAUAAAAACUUGUUAAAUUUCAAUGUGGCAUGUCAUUUA